rnacentral:rRNA from 1 species
AACGAACGCUGGCGGCAGGCUUAACACAUGCAAGUCGAGCGCCCCGCAAGGGGAGCGGCAGACGGGUGAGUAACGCGUGGGAAUCUACCCAUCUCUACGGAAUAACGCAUGGAAACGUGUGCUAAUACCGUAUACGUCCUUCGGGAGAAAGAUUUAUCGGAGAUGGAUGAGCCCGGGUUGGAUUAGCUAGUUGGUGGGGUAAAGGCCUACCAAGGCGACGAUCCAUAGCUGGUCCGAGGGGAUGAUCAGCCACACUGGGACUGAGACACGGCCCAGACUCCUACGGGAGGCAGCAGUGGGGAAUAUUGGACAAUGGGCGCAAGCCUGAUCCAGCCAUGCCGCGUGAGUGAUGAAGGCCCUAGGGUUGUAAAGCUCUUUCACCGGUGAAGAUAAUGACGGUAACCGGAGAAGAAGCCCCGGCUAACUUCGUGCCAGCCGCCGCCGUAAUAC